rnacentral:rRNA from 1 species
GAGAAUUGAUCUGGUUCAGGAUGAACGCUAGCUACAGGCUUAACACGAUGCAAGUCGAGGGGCAGCAUGAUCUGUGCUUGCACAGGUUGAUGGCGACCGGCGGCACGGGUGAGUAACGCGUAUCCAACCUCCCCUUAGUAGAGGAUAGCCCGGCGAAAGUCGGAUUAAUACUCUAUGUUCUUCUUGGAUGGCAUCAGAAUUGAAGCAAAGAUUUAUCGCUAAGGGAUGGGGAUGCGUCUGAUUAGCUUGUCGGCGGGUAACGGCCCACCGAGGCGACGAUCAGUAGGGGUUCUGAGAGGAAGGUCCCCCACAUUGGUACUGAGACACGGACCAAACUCCUACGGGAGGCAGCAGUGAGGAAUAUUGGUCAAUGGGCGAGAGCCUGAACCAGCCAAGUUAAGCGUGCAGGAAGACUGCCCUAUGGGUUGUAAACUGCUUUUAUAGGGGAAUAAAGUGAGGGACGUGUCCCUUUUUGUAUGUACCCUAUGAAUAAGGACCGGCUAAUUCCGUGCCAGCCGCGGC